GAUGAACGCUGGCGGCAUGCCUUACACAUGCAAGUCGAACGGCAGCACGGGAGCAAUCCUGGUGGCGAGUGGCGAACGGGUGAGUAAAGUAUCGGAACGUGCCCAGUCGUGGGGGAUAACGUAGCGAAAGUUACGCUAAUACCGCAUACGAUCUAUGGAUGAAAGCGGGGGAUCGCAAGACCUCGCGCGAUUGGAGCGGCCGAUAUCAGAUUAGGUAGUUGGUGGGGUAAAGGCUCACCAAGCCGACGAUCUGUAGCUGGUCUGAGAGGACGACCAGCCACACUGGGACUGAGACACGGCCCAGACUCCUACGGGAGGCAGCAGUGGGGAAUUUUGGACAAUGGGCGAAAGCCUGAUCCAGCCAUGCCGCGUGCGGGAUGAAGGCCUUCGGGUUGUAAACUGCUUUUGUACGGAACGAAAAGGUUUGGGCUAAUAAGCUGAGCUCAUGACGGUACCGUAAGAAUAAGCACCGGCUAACUACGUGCCAGCCGCCGCCGUAA
rnacentral:rRNA from 1 species